GAGCGACUUUUCUGGUUAAUUCCAUUAACGAACGAGACCACAGCCUGCUAAAUCGUACGUGUUAUGGUAACAUAGUAUGAGACUUCUUAGAGGGACAUUUCGGGUUUACCGAAAGGAAGUUUGUGGCAAUAACAGGUCUGUGAUGCCCUUAGAUGUUCUGGGUCGCACGCGCGCUACACUGACGACUUCAACAAGUUUUUUUCUUUGAAAAAGUCCUUGGCUGGAAAGUCUGGGUAAUCUUUUAAACGGUCGUCGUGAUGGGGCUAGAUUCUUGCAAUUAUUAAUCUCCAACGAGGAACC
rnacentral:rRNA from 1 species